CGAGGGCGAACGGGGUUUUGGCUAACACCAAAUAAGAGUGCUUUAUUUUUUUUUGCAUCCAGCUAAAACCGAGAAAAAUGACAUGACCAUGUCGGGGGACUGAGUCUUGUUUAUUUAGCACUUUGCAAGGCAUUUGAAUAAAUUGGUAGCCAGCUGGUCGGGGAAACUCUGCUCAAUUUUUCUUUCCUCCGUUAAUCCCUAAGGCCAACGCCAGAAAAGGGUCAGCGUUGGUAAAGUUUAAAAUAUCUUUUUUUUGGAUUUUUCUCACAAAGGUUUUAAUAUUUUUUUGUGCUUGUGCUGCACGCGAAUGGACAAAUGCUUGAGCAUUUUUCAAAUUCCGAAAAAAAUACGCUAAGCCGAGAAGAAGGUUCAAGGUCCCGAAUGCAAAGUGGCCAAAUUUAUGCCUAAAAGAAUGUCUGGUCCUUUCAGAAGAAAAUCCAAAGCGAUUUGCCACAUUUGUCUGCAGCUGUUUUGCUUUUUGAGCUGUAAAGGCGUGAAAGUAGUUGGGGAUCCAUUAAAUUUCAUCUUAUAAAUUGAGUUCAGUAUGGUCUAAAAUGGCCACGGGAGACUUCACUUUACUCAGUCAGUUUUCAAAACAGGUUUGGUUGUAGGCUAAACGCACUAAAACUUUUAACUUUCCACUAAAAUAUCAAUUUAUUUGUUAAUUUUUGGCAGUAAGAAAAUGUUACUGGAUUAAAAAAACCUCCCAUAGCCUUUGAAUUUCUAAAGUUCGAGAUUUGUUAUCUGGUAUCUGGUACCAAGAAUCUGGUAGUCGGGGUAAUCGACUAAAGAAAUCGAUUGCUGAAUAUGAAUAUUUUUUUGAUAUUCACUUCUUUUUAUAACAGCUUGAGAAACAUAGCGUCCUCUCUUGUUGAAUCCGAAUGCUCUUUAAAUAUUCAGCUCUUUUUGUAUCGAUCUGUCUGGAUGUCUAUACGUCAGUCUGCCAGUCAACUUCAGCUGGCCAUUGGGAAAUGCAACGGCAGCAAACUCCAACGAAGCCGCCGCCGUUUGACAGGGUAGUAAAUUACAUUUUAAUUAAAACCCAAAGGAGCACUGGCCGUGGGGAAUCCGGACGUGUAACUGGGACUUAAUGGGAACCAUCAGCGGCAUUCACUUAUCUCAUCUAACUGAGCCAACUGGGCCAACUACUGAGCCAACUCUGGAAACUCAAAUAGCGCGGCACCUGUCAGCAGGGGAGUCGAAGACUGCACUGCAAAUCGAAGUAAAUUUGAUUGUCUAUCAGCGCGUUAAGAGCUAAAUUUAAUAUACUGCUCGACGGCAAUGGAGUUUCAGCCGCAGAGCGACUGCUUCAGUCUGUCAGGCAGUUCCUCACCAAGACAGUCGUCUAUCAUUUGAAGAGACAGUUGCCUUGAUUUCGCCGCUGGCUUUCAAUUAACUUACAGUUUGCCGAGGCGUAUACUUAAUGUAUUUGCUCCGAAUGAAAUUUAGAUAUAUUUUCAUAGCUAUUUGACAUUUGUAGUUACAACGUACUUUAAGAUUAUAUAAUUGUGCAUUGGGCACAAAUAAAUAUUUUUAAAAUAUUUAAUAAAUAUUUUUAAAUGAUGUUUUUAUUACUUAUUUAUUUUUUAUUAUUUAAUGAUUUCGGACCGCCCAUAGAUAUAAAGCUAAGCCCCACAGACUCUUGCAUUAGUAGUGUCCAAUUAAAUGAAUUUAUGUUGGUAUAACAACGGUUCACUUUUUCGGCUAGCCUAUAAGGAAAAUGUCGUCCUUAUUCAGCAUAAAAAAUGAAUAAAAGUAAAUACCUAUAGAAUAAAUAAAGAUUCACUCAAGUAUGAAAGAAUUUACAUUUACCUGCAAUUUGUCUUCGACAGCAGAUGGCAGAAAAGGUCUCUUGUCGAUGAAGGCGUGCCAACCCUCCUGAAUUGCAAGAGUAUUUAUUUUUCUCAUUUAUUUCUUUGGAAAAUUAUGAUAAAUUGUUUGCGCCGAAACUUGAGACGCGGACCUAAAUUGAAUUGGAAAAUGUGUACGCUUUUCGAGUGCAGUGAUCAUCUUCAAGGGCAGCUAAUUGAACGAGCAAUUUGUCGAGGGCAAGCGCCAGUAAAAGGGAAAAUUAAAUGUCUGGUUUUGAUAAUUGGAUAAGCAGUAACUGAAAAACAGGACAACUUUUUGCGCAAAGCAGAGGCAGCAGACAUAAGGACAUACUUACAACGGAUAACAAACUCAUCCAAUCAAGGACCUUGGGCAUUUCAUAAUAAAUCGUUUAAAAAGGAGAAAAUAAAACCGGAAUAUGUAAAUUUUGUACAGUUUAUCCUAAUGAGCUGAAGCCUCCGUUUUUUGCCUGGGGUUGUCCAACUGUCAGAAGGGCACCAAGAGAAAUAAGUCAUUUUAUAUUUUUAUGGGUGAUUUGUGAGUUAGGCACAGAAAGGUGAUACAAAGCCGAGCUGAAUUGUUAAUGGAAUAUUGGUGGGAAAGAUAGGCUACUACUGCCACAGAUUGUACCGCAAAACAUUUAGAGCCUUCAAGGUGAUCUUACUUCACGGCUGAAUGUCAAAAGAAUGAAAGAUUGUGCAGCUCUUUUUGUGUGAAUCCCAAGCCCCCUCAAUUUCCGAAUAUGAAUUUUCUGCGUUAUUAUCCUCAACACACACAAAAGCACAGACGCAUAAGCACAUAAAUCUCUUUUGCUUUUUUGGUAGCUACUUUUUGAGCUCCGUCCACGGGAUUCGAGGAGCCGGAAUUCGGAAUUCGGGACUCUGGACUCGGAUGGAUAUGCAGCUAGUUUAAUCUACUUGGACAUGACAAUAAAAUUUAUAUCAUCUUAGCUUUUCUCUGCUUUGGACCGCUGCUUAGUGAAGUCCUUUCUCGCCUCUUUGGCUUUUAUUUGCUCCAUGCCAUCGCCACUGCUUUUGCCUGCGUCUUGCUCCUGGCCCUGCUCUUUAUUUGUGCCCUUUCCCAUCGCAUCGCAUCUCGUCUAUUUUAUUUUAUUUGCUGCCUUUUUACGGCAUUAUUGUUGUUGCCGUGUCCCUUUUAAGUCCUUGGCUUGUUCUCGCUGAGGAAAGCGUAGAAGGAAAAUGUUAAAAAAAAUAAACAUACAAAUGCCACAUUAAGCAUGAUUUGCCGCUUUUCCAGGCAAAAGUCCAUUGGGCUUUUUAUUCCCCUACAACCAUGCCCCUCCGGGCUUUGAACCCUCAUCUGGUCUGCUCGUUCGUGUGUAGAUUUCAAGUUUAUCAGCUGCUUGAAUGUUGGCCAUAUUUUGUGCUUAACUGACUUUUGUUUGCCCACUGAGAAAUGGCCUAUAUCCCCAAAUCGGGGAUUGGUGAAAAAUGAAUGUCAUAAUUUCUAAUCUCUAGCAUUUCCAUGUGAUUAAGCUCUUAAAGGCUCACUUAAUAGCGCAUUAUGAGGGCUUUCUUGCCCAUUGGCCAAUUGAUAAAUGUAUUCUUGACCUGUUUAUCUAUGCAAAUAGAAACAGUUGCAUCCAUAAUCCAUCGCAGCAAUGUAGGCUGAAUUCAUAAUGAAAUAUUUCCUUUGUGUCUAUGGUUUCGAAAAUGGUUUUCAGUAAGCCAAUCGACCGUUGCCAAAAGCUUGUUUGAUUGCGUUCACCUGAAAAUAAACAAAUAUUUAUCAUGAGCACUGUAAAAAUAUCCUCAAUAUGUGACUCUCGAUUCAAAAAGCAACAACUCAAAAAAGUUAUAUAAAUGUACGGAAUAAAUUUAAACUUAAAGAACUAUUUUAGGGAAAACUUUAUUUUCUGUGUAAAGAUUUUCAUUAUAACCAAUCCCCUCCUUAUCCCCUAACCAAUCAAAUUGGGAAUUCCAGUCCUUUGAAUACACAUUAUUAAUGAGAUAGGGUCCGUGAACGGGAUGGGAGAUUGAUGUGUGCCCGAGUGCGUGCCACAUUCCACACGCAAACGGCGGCACAAGUCAGUCGGUCCCGAAAGCGGAACCGGAAAUCGAAACGAGAGCCGCCUGGUGCGUGUUCCUGGUCUCACACGGAAAUUAAGUUCUUUUUAACUUUUUUUAUCUGAGCACUGCCGAUAUAAGAGUUAUGCAUAUGAAUGCCAACAAUAGAGGCAAGACCCAUUCUGUUACACAGUAGUCAAAUUAACGCGGAAUAAAGCGGCCAAAGGAAAAUAAACUGCAGAGCUGAAAAAAGGAAAGAAAAACAAGUAAACUUUUUACUUUGUCUGCUUCCCGUAAACUUUGCACAAGAAUUGCAGCUGGAUGUGAUUGUCGGUGGGGGAGUGAAUCGGGUCAGACAAAGACCAGAAUGAGGUUACUUUUCCCAUUUUCUUACGCCAGACACAAUUGCCAAACGCAACAAGGGAGAGUAGGAAACGGAAAAUUUCGAAAUUACAUUUAUUAUUUCCCCAGCCCCUGCGUACCAUUUAGUGUCAAGUUCCCAAAGAUUUCCAUCAGCAUUUGCAUGUCUUAAAGCAAGCGGACUCCUGAAACUUGAAUCUUCCAUUUACGGAACUGAACUGAUUUUGAGGAUUCUGCUACACUUCAUGACGAACAAACUUCUAAAAUGCUAAUUCCAAGUAAUUUUAGUUGCAAACUUGAGAAAUUUAUACAAAAAUUACAGAUGAAUUUUUAAACUCGCGGUAUUUUGGGAGGAGAUUAACGACUAAGAGCAAAAAUUAUCAUUUUUUUAUUUUAAUUAUAAAAAAAUAAUUAAUUGUAUACAAACACAAGCUCUUCUCUAUUGACUAAUUACUAAUAAUUUAGGUAUGAUAAAUAGUUUUAAGGUAAUAUUAUAUUACAAAAUCUUAAAUGUCAGCCUACUUUUAUAGUGCAUCCGAUACAACAGUUUCAAACUAGAGAUUCAGUUUCUAAAGCUUUCCAAUUAGUAGUAAGUAACCAUUCUCGCUUCUAGUCCGCUAGUCGGCCUGCAAUCACGGCUUAAACAAGAACCCGCAAAUCGAUUUUCAUUAGGGGAUUCCCAGGACAUAAGUACAUACAUCAAAUCGCUCAUUUUGCGCAACUCCUUCGUCGAGAGGGAUAGUCACUCGUCCUUUGGGAUUGUGUCUGCGUUUGUGUUGCUGAUUGUAUUUGCUGCUUGCGAUUGCAAUUUCCUAGGCUUUGCCAACAUACAAGUAUACAAGCUUCUACAAUAACUCUGGAAUAACUACCUUCAAGUGACGAUAGAAGCCAUAAAUAUGAGCAGAAAAAAGCGGCUGACAGAAAAGGGGCGUCUGAAACUUUUGUCAACUCUGUGUUAUAAACGAAGCGCUUGACUACAUAUUGACUUUAACUGAAAGCGUUUAUGUUGAUUGUGUAUGUGUCGCCGUGGCUCUUUACACUGAGGAAAAUUAUUUCACUUUCUUUAUACAUAAAAAAAGCACACAAAGCGUAACAAAUACGAAUUUUUAUGUAGUUUCAAUUUCAUCUAAUAUGUAAUUGGGCCAGAAUUGCCUGCUCAGGUGGUUUCCUGAAUUUUUCUCUGUGCAGAUGCGUUCUGCUCAUAGGCUAGCGUAUUUGGUUGUGUGAACGUGGAGCGCUAUCAAUAAAUCUACAAUAUGUAUGAAACGCAAAGUCUCUGCUGAUGGCCGCCAUUUGUGUAUAAAUGUGCUCGUGUGUGUGACAUUUUUCCGCUUUCCUUCUGUCAUUUACAGUUAUGAAACAAUGUCGCAUGACACUUCUGGCAUUUUUUCGUUUUCGGAUAUACCAUAAUCUUUUCCGUUGCAGUUGUUAAACACUGUGUACGUAGAGGGAUAAUUCUUGUUCGCUAGAUAGGCUUUUCUAAUUUCAUAAAAUAUUGUCUGAACAAAAAAAGUAACAGGUAAGCCUGCAAAAUCAAUGAUGGGUUAAUUUGGUAAUAGAAGGUUAAAUUUUUCGAAGCACAUGAUGUUAUAAUUCUGUAUUUAACAGAAAAUUGAAAUGUUAAUUUUAAGCUAUGGGUUUUUGUAGAGCACUUAAUAUUCGAUGAAUGAUAUGUCGGAUUUUAUAUACAUAUUUCCCCCUUUUAUACAAAUUUAAAUAUUCAAUAUUGACACAGAAAAUUGCGCUUUUAAAGCGCCAACCAUAUUUAUAACCGCGCAGGAAUAAGCCCAGACUCCACCCAAAACCACCUUGUAAAAUGUGUAUUUUUGUUUUUCCAUCCCGGGGUCACUCACACAAAGUUUCCCAUGUACACACAACCAAUCACACACAUACACUGUUAGGGCCGUGAAACACUCAAAGCCAACGUAUAAAAUAUGCAUGAAAAAUUUGUCACAUCCCGGGAAAAUGGUCGAAGUGAGUUCACCUUUUCAAUGGCCACUUGACCCUCGAAAGUGAGCUAUACAUGUAGCAAGAACCCAAGGCAUUGAAUUUAAAUUGCGCAUUAAAUGUGUCCAAAAGAAUUUGAGCAUUUUAGUGUGUGCGGUCAUUUACCAAGAAAUUGAUAAGUCAAAGUUCAUAAUUGGCUUCUUACGCCUCCAACUUGCCCGAGGGUCAGUUUGGAAGGCUUUACAGAUAAGGAAAAGGAAUACUUUUCCAGACAGAAUAAGGAGUGUGUGGCCAAAUUGAAAUGGAAAAUGUGCAAGUCCAAGCAAAUAGAACAUGCAAAUGGCACAAAGUCCGCCGAAAGAAAGCGGAAAGUAACUUUCAUUGCAUGCACUUGAAGCAUUUACCCCAAGACAUUUCCCCGAAGGUCCUUACUGAAUUGCCAUUUUACUUCCAUGUGUUCGUGCACUUAGCGUGUCAUAGUCUAAUUACAGGGCGUUAUACUGACUGCCAUUUUGCAUGCUAGCAGUGCAUUAGACACAUAGCCACGAAUUUGUAGAGGCAUGUUUGCAAACACACAAAAAUCUGAGCUGUUGCCUUCAGUCGACCGAAUAAGUGAACAGUUGACUUACGUAUUUUGGGUAUUUGCCUAAUUUGUGCAACAAAAAAUGUCCUAAGACUUCCACCCCUCUUCGCAUUUCAAACUGCCAACUGCACGCCAAGUAAUCCUAAGUUUAAGUGAAAACUAAAUUCCUUUUUGAUAGCUUUGCGGGUAAUCAAAAGAUCGGUGUAAAUGAACCUUUAGGUCUGAGUUCUUUAUAAUUUACAUAGGCUCAAAUCAAAUUUUGCGUUUUCUUUGCCCAACGUAAUUUACAAAACCUUUAGAGGCCGCCAAGGUUUCUAAUUGAUUAGUCUUCGAUUGCGUUGGUUUUAACAAACCUUUUUAAAUCUCACAUACGUUAAUUAUAAAUUCCAUGAACUGCCUUUGAAUUGAUUUAAUCGAUUGCAUAAUCAAACUUAGCUGUUUAAACGUUUUUAGAGAUUUCGCCUCAUGACCAGGAAACACGCACUAAAUUACCUACAAAAAUACUCUCCAGUGCCACUCAAAGUCUCAAAAACACGUUCAGCCGGCCAGAUAUCACACCACACAUUGUCAUUUAUUACCUCCCACACACUUGACUGCCUAACUGCUACACGAGCGAAUAUAAUAUUUCAUUAUAAAUUACACACGACUUACGUCAAUUUGUUUUCGGUGGCCAAACAAAAGUGAAGUUCGGCAGGACGGCAGAACGGCAGCAUCCCAUAAGUAAGCCAUCGCGCACACACUUACGCACAACAUAUGACGGCUCAGUUUAUUAGACAGCAAAAACGGAAGUGGCCAUAAUUUACUAACGAAGCCAUAAGAAGAAAAUGGCCGGGCAAAGAACA